GACAGAGGGUGCAAACGUUGUUCGGAAUUACUGGGCGUAAAGCGCGUGUAGGCGGCUUCGCAAGUCGGGUGUGAAAGCCCUGGGCUCAACCCAGGAAGUGCAUUCGAUACUGCGGAGCUGGAGUCCCGGAGAGGAUGGCGGAAUUCUCGGUGUAGAGGUGAAAUUCGUAGAUAUCGAGAGGAACAUCGGUGGCGAAGGCGGCCAUCUGGACGGUGACUGACGCUGAGACGCGAAAGCGUGGGGAGCAAACAGG
rnacentral:rRNA from 1 species